rnacentral:ncRNA from 1 species
AGGAUGCUAGAUUUUCUUAAUGUUCUGUACGAAAUCCAGCAGCUCGGCAACAGGACGUUGCUGAGAGCGAGAGCUGAGCCAUGGAUGGCGAAUCUCGAGCGGUUGCGUUGAAUCACCAACACCUAAACCAGAACAUUUAGAAAAUCUUACAUCCGAA